UAUCACAGGAAAUUUCAUUUUUCAAACAUUCUAACUUUCUAAAUGAGAGAUGAUCUAGCCUAUUGUGACAUACUUGGAUAGACACAUUGUUUACAAAGGCCUUAGGAAUAGAAUCAGUAUAUGAAGUUGAAUUUAGAUCUUUGGUGUCAAGGACGUACAAGUCCUGCAACCUAUCGCCCUUGCCAAUCAUCUUCUUGAUUUUGGCAUUCUGGAUGAUGAAAUGAUCAUGAAAGAAACCAACGGUUAGAUGGGAUCCAACUAUUAGAGCACUAACAGAUAACAUGUUAAACUUUAAUUGAGCACAAAUAGUAUAUCAUGAAGUAUAAGAUCAUGACUUAAUCUGACUUCACAACAUAAUUUAAAGUAUAUUUGUGUGUUAUUUGGCAGAGUAACAAUAGAAUUAUCCAGUAUCCUGAUUGGCAAGGCAGAAGCAAUUGAACAUACACGCUUGGUUGCACCGGAAUCCACUAUCCAGAUGUUCUUGGAUAAGAACAUAGGAUUAACUGAUAUGGAAUAACAUAUACCUGCUGCAUAUGAGAUGUCAUUGUUGUCUUGAUGAUCAAAUGUUGUUGCGAAAGAGUUUAAAGCCGAAUGAGAAGACAAUAUAGACAUGUAUCUCCAUCAGAAAAGAUAGUGUACUCGAUCUGAUAGUGUUUGUUCAAUUCCUUCACUUCACCACAGGUACAUUUUCCACAAUUGCAUGUAGGUCGAUAAUUGCUCAGUUUCUCCCAAAUGGUUUUGAGUUUAGUGAAAUACACAAUUACACUAUCUUGAUCUUGAAUUAGAUUCAUCAAAUCUCUUCUCAAUUGAAAGAUGCGUGGUCCAUUCUGUUGAAACCUUUCCUCAAAUCCAUGACUUGAGCAAUUCAAAAUUCGUACAUCAGUUCAGAUAUAGAUCCAUCAAUGAAUCCGAGUUUAUUUUUCACAUACAAUGCAAUUGUCAUUGCACAACUCUAAGAGGCAUAGUUAUCUUUGGUGAGCUGCUGCGAUACCAAAAUCAUUCCUGGACUAUCAGAAUGAUGCAAAAGCAUGGACUUGAAAUAUCAUCAACUGAUAACUUGUUCAUUGAUGUUCUUGAAUCUUUUGAUUGCUGUGGCUCCAUCUGAAAUCAGUUGCCAGAAUCAACAAUUGAUUAAUAAAAAAAGAAAAAAAAAUUGAGAGAAGAAUUAGUAUGAGGAAUUAUCUUUGCUCUGAUACCAUAUUAAAAGGUAGAAGGAAUUGUGAAGAACUUAUU
rnacentral:lncRNA from 1 species